UACCAACAGCCAAUGAAAGGCGCCUGCCAGUGGCCAGCAGGGAACCAAACCUGCCAAAACAAGCGCCAUUUGGAUGUUCUGGCAUUUGAGGCCUUGACCCUGGAGGGGUGUCCUUCCCCCAUGACCAGCCUCCCUUCUGCUGUGAUGCUCUACCAAGUGUGUUUCUUCCCAGAGUAUGUGUGGCUCUUCAGACGUGACCUACUCUGACCGGACCCCACAGGCUUUCUGGGUUGGAUUGACCACCAGCACUGCUUCCCAUCAUUUCCUAAAACCCAAUGUGAUAGACAAUACAGCAAUAGUAAAAAGCAAAGGGUGGGGGCGCCUGGGUGGCUCAGUCA